rnacentral:rRNA from 35 species
UGGCGGCCUUAGCGCGGUGGUCCCACCUGACCCCAUGCCGAACUCAGAAGUGAAACGCCGUAGCGCCGAUGGUAGUGUGGGGUCUCCCCAUGCGAGAGUAGGGAACUGCCAG